UACAGGGGGGGCAAGCGUUGUUCGGAAUUACUGGGCGUAAAGGGCUCGUAGGCGGCCAACUAAGUCACACGUGAAAUCCCCAGGCUUAACCUGGGAACUGCGUGUGAUACUGGAUGGCUUGAAUCCGGGAGAGGGAUGCGGAAUUCCAGGUGUAGCGGUGAAAUGCGUAGAUAUCUGGAGGAACACCGAUUGCGAAGGCAGCUCGCUGGAACGUUACUGACGCUGAGACGCGAAAGCGUGGGGAGCAAACAGG
rnacentral:rRNA from 1 species